ACUGAUUUUCAUAUCUCCAUUUUUUUUCUCUUAACUUCUAAAAAAGACGAUCUCAUAUUCUCCUCCUUCUAUUCCCUCCAUAUAUCCAUACCAUUAGAAAGCUAGGGUUUCAGUUCCAUUCUCUGGAUCGCAGAAGAAGAAUAGAAAAUCAGAGUUAUAGUUUGAAUGCUCUUUGGGUUUAUUGAUUUCAGGAACAUGUUAUUUUAAGGAUUUGGCGACAUUCUAGUGAGAGGAUUCAAUAGCGUGGCCUGGUUUUGAUCAAUGUCGAUUUCAAUUACCAGUACGAUCUCUCCUAUUAAGAUUGUUAAUUUGUAUCUGAAAUUCUUUAUUUUCGGACAUCCCACUUUACAAGCAUAUCACCGGCCUUGCUGGUAACAUCCAAUUGGACUUAAACGAAGAUAAGAACAACAGAUCAUCAAAGAUCUCGGGAUGAUUCUGAUGAUUGGGAUCAGUAUGCAAAGAUGAUGACUGCUGACGUAGAGACAAAGUACAGGUUGUGAGAGAUGAUCUCUUCGUCACCAACCCGAAGUGAACUGAGAAAGCAAUCAAAGACAAGUCAUGCAAUGCCCUCCUUCUCAAGGUUAAUCAAAUUGGAUCAGUGAUUGAGGAAAUGGAAGUGGGGAGGAUGUCCGAGAAAGCUGGAUGGGGAGUUCUGACCAGUCAUCACAGUGGUGAAACGACUACACUUUUAUUGCUGAUCUUUUAUGGGCUUAACGAUGGUAAAUUUUCAAUGCUACCUAACUUGAGUUGUUCUUAGCUGGAUGGGAAGUUCUGACCAGUCAUCACGGUGGUGAAACGAAUACACUUUUAUUGCUAAUCUUCUAUGGGCUUAACCAUGGUUCGUAUGGAUUUCCGUCAGUUGACCAUGGCAUUCCUAUAACACAUCCAUAAUAAUUAUUAUUAUUGUAAUAUAUAACACAUCUUAUAUAAUUGUGGCUGCUCGAGAGGCCUAUACCAAUACAGAACUUAUGGAGCGUGUGUAAUUUAACAAGGAGUGGUGAUAGAACACUUACUGCAUGGUGCUCUAAUUAAAUUGAACGGAGUGCGACAUCUACCUUCAAUUUUCAAAGAUAUGUUUCGACCAUUGUUUGUGAUACAUCUGUAUGUAAUUUCAACGGUGUUUUUUUGUUCUCAAUAUUUUUCUACAGGUAGAACUUAUAUAUAUAUGUAAAUUGAUUAGUAAGUCUU